GAUGAACGCUAGCUGCAGGCUUAACACAUGCAAGUCGCGGGGCAGCAUGGGGGUUGCUUGCAAUCCCCGAUUGCGACCGGCGCACGGGUGAGUAACGCGUAUCCAACCUGCCCUUCACCACGGGAUAACCCGGCGAAAGUCGGACUAAUACCGUAUAUUUUCCAUUGACGGCAUCCGAUUAGGACGAAAGGCCUGGAGGUGCGGGUGGGGGAUGGGUGUGUUUAGCCAGACGGCGGGGUAACGGCCAACCGUGGCUACGAUCGGUAGGGGUUCUGAGAGGAAGGUCCCCCACACUGGAACUGAGACACGGUCCAGACUCCUACGGGAGGCAGCAGUGAGGAAGAUUGGUCAAUGGGCGUAAGCCUGAACCAGCCAAGUAGCGUGCAGGAUGACGGCCCUAUGGGUUGUAAACUGCUUUUAUGCGGGGAUAAAGUGGCCCACGGGUGGGCUUUUGCAGGUACCGCAUGAAUAAGGACCGGCUAAUUCCGUG
rnacentral:rRNA from 1 species